GAUGAACGCUGGCGGCGUGCCUAAUACAUGCAAGUCGAGCGAACGGACGAGAAGCUUGCUUCUGUGAUGUUAGCGGCGGACGGGUGAGUAACACGUGGAUAACCUACCUAUAAGACUGGGAUAACUUCGGGAAACCGGAGCUAAUACCGGAUAAUAUUUUGAACCGCAUGGUUCAAAAGUGAAAGACGGUCUUGCUGUCACUUAUAGAUGGAUCCGCGCUGCAUUAGCUAGUUGGUAAGGUAACGGCUUACCAAGGCAACGAUGCAUAGCCGACCUGAGAGGGUGAUCGGCCACCCUGGAACUGAGACACGGUCCAGACUCCUACGGGAGGCAGCAGUAGGGAAUCUUCCGCAAUGGGCGAAAGCCUGACGGAGCAACGCCGAGUGAGUGAUGAAGGUCUUCGGAUCGUAAAACUCUGUUAUUAGGGAAGAACAUAUGUGUAAGUAACUGUGCACAUCUUGACGGUACCUAAUCAGAAAGCCACGGCUAACUACGUG
rnacentral:rRNA from 1 species